CAGCAGCCGCGGUAAAACGUAGGUGGCAAGCGUUGUCCGGAAUUAUUGGGCGUAAAGGGCUCGCAGGCGGUUUCUUAAGUCUGAUGUGAAAGCCCCCGGCUCAACCGGGGAGGGUCAUUGGAAACUGGGAAACUUGAGUGCAGAAGAGGAGAGUGGAAUUCCACGUGUAGCGGUGAAAUGCGUAGAGAUGUGGAGAAACACCAGUGGCGAAGGCGACUCUCUGGUCUGUAACUGACGCUGAGGAGCGAAAGCGUGGGGAGCGAACAGGAUUAGAUACCCGCGUAGUCCCUGUCUCUUAUAC
rnacentral:rRNA from 1 species